GUUGGCCUCAGAUCAGGGAGGAUCACCCGCC
rnacentral:sRNA from 1 species